rnacentral:rRNA from 1 species
UACGUAGGGGGCAAGCGUUGUCCGGAAUCAUUGGGCGUAAAGAGCGCGUAGGCGGCCCAGUAAGUCCGCUCUGAAAGUCAGGGGCUCAACCCCUGGAUGCGGGUGGAUACUGCUGGGCUAGAGUCCGGAAGAGGUGAGUGGAAUUCCUGGUGUAGCGGUGAAAUGCGCAGAUAUCAGGAGGAACACCGAUGGCGAAGGCAGGUCUCUGGGCCACUACUGACGCUGAGAAGCGAAAGCGUGGGGAGCGAACAGG